CACAUAUAACAAACCCUAACUUUCUCUCUCCUCAUCCUUCGCUAACACUCUCUCUCAUCAUCCUUCUCUUCUCUUCGCUAACUCUCUCUCUCAUCAUCCUCUCUCUUCUUUCUGUUUCUCUCUCUGCGGCCAUUCAUGGGCGAAGCUUGCGAGUUGAGAGGGGGCGAAGCUUGCGAGUUGAGAGGGGCUUAAUUUUUUUUUUUUUUCUCCUUUCUUUCUUUCUCUCUCUUCUUUUUCUUUCUCUUUCUCUCUCUGCCGCCGUCCAUGGGCGAAGCUUGAGAGUUGAGAGACAGCGGCUGAAGCUUGCGAACGGCGAACCCGAACUGGAACAGCGGGCGAUGGAAACUGAAAGAUAUGGGUUUUGAUUUUUUGAACAAUCUGAAAUGAUAUGCCGAUUUGGGUUUUGAUAUAGGUAAUAGGUUUUGAACUUUUGAUUAUUGCAACAGAUAGAUAAACUGAAAUAUAUAGGUUUUGAAAUUCUGAUUCUUGUAGAUUUAGUACUUUGCAGUUGCAGAGAGAGAGAGAGAAGGCAAGUUCGGAGUUGAGAACGUGAAGAGAGAUGGAGGCGGCGAUUGGUAAGGCUGAAACGAUUUGCCCUAAAUAUAUAUAUAUAUAUAUAUAUUAAUAAUAAUAUAACAAAAAAUAUAUAAUAUACAUAUAUAUAUAAUAUAUAUAAAUUUCCCCAAAAAAAAUAAUAAAAAAAAAAAAAAAUCAUAACCCGUCAACCUGACCCAACCCAACCCGCCCGAAAAAAUUCAGUUCGGGUUAUGACUACAACCCAUGUUGGGUGUAAUUCGGGUUAGCCCAACCCGAUUCGGGUUGAGGUUGGGUUGGGCCAACCCAACUUGCAGCCCUACCAUCAACCCGUUACACAACCCAUACUGAGCCCGAUACAUCAACCACAACCCGACCCAAGAGUUCAAAACAAAAUUCUAGAUAUAACGGGGACAUAUGGAUAUGGAUAAACCCUAACAUUUAGCCAUGGCAACAUUUCAGCUGUUACUUCAGUCACCUCUUCCUCAUCCCCACCUUCAACACUCUCUCUCUUCAUCCCCAAACUCACAAACCCAAUUCAAAAUUACAACCAACUGGUUCAUUCCCACACCCAAAUUUCACAAAACAAAGCCACCAAAAUCAUCCAUCCAUGGCGACAUUAACAACUCUCCAGAAGAAGUUGAUGAUCCCCCAAAACCCACUCGCCGAGGUCGCAAAAAGAGCACCGUCCCAUCAUCAUCUUCAACAGAAACAACGACAAAGCGAAAACGUUCACCCAAAACACAGAUUCAGAAUAGCUCAAUUGAAGCCACCAACCCAAAAGAAACCCUAAAAGAUUUAGCAAAUUUGAUAGCUGACGAAGAGGACUAUGAUGAUGGGAUUGAUUUUCCGUACGAAGACCCGCCAUUGAUAUGCUGCUUCGGAGCUGUACAAAAGGAGUUUGUGCCCACUGUGCGUGUGUCCGAAGAGCAAAUGCAUCCUGACAUGUACUCUCAUUGGAAGAUGCUGCAGUGGAACCCGCCGGAGUUCGUGAGAGCGCCCGGUGGGCCCCCUUCGAACGUCGCGAUAUCACAUGUGAGGCUUGGUGGCCGGGCGGCGUUUAUGGGGAAGGUUGGGAAUGAUCAGUUUGGGGAAGAGUUGGUUUUGAUGAUGAAUAAAGAGAGAGUGCAGACUCGGGCAGUGAAGUUUGAUAAGAAUGUGAAGACGAGUUGUGCUUAUAUGAAGAUCAAGUUUGAUGAGGGCAAGAUGAGGGUGGAGAUGGCUAAAGAAUCAGCUGAAGAUUCUUUACUUAGUUCUGAAUUGAACCUUGCUGUGCUUAAAGAGGCCAGAAUGUUCCAUUUCAAUUCAGAAGUUCUAACAUCUUCUUCUAUGCAAUCUACCCUUUUUAAAGCAAUUGCAUGGUCGAAAAAGUUUGGCGGCCUUAUAUUUUUUGAUUUGAAUCUGCCCUUGCCUUUAUGGAAAUCACGUGAUGAGACAUGGGAAUCGAUCAAGCCAGCCUGGGAACAAGCAGACAUCAUUGAGGUGACAAAGCAAGAGCUAGAAUUUCUUCUAGAUGAAGAGCAUUACGAGAGGAGGAGGAAUUAUAGGCCUCAAUACUAUGCUCAGGAUUAUGAGCAGACCAAGCACCGGCGAGAUUACUAUCAUUACACCCGUGAAGAAAUCUCCCCAUUGUGGCAUGAUAAGCUAAAGUUUUUAUUCGUGACAGAUGGGACGCUGCGGAUUCAUUACUACGCCCCUUCUUUUGAUGGAGUGGCGGUGGGAACUGAAGAUGUGCUCAUAACUCCAUUCACCUGUGAUAGGACUGGCUCUGGGGAUGCUGUUGUGGCAGGUAUCAUGAGAAAGCUGACCACUCAGCCUGAUAUGUAUGAUAAUCAAGAUACUUUGGAGAGGCAACUUCGUUUUGCAAUUGCAGCUGGGAUUAUAUCACAGUGGACAAUAGGUGCAGUGAGAGGUUUUCCUACAGAGAGCGCCACCCAGAAUCUGAAAGAACAGGUUUAUGUGCCUUCAAUGUGGUAGACCUUGGUAUGCAUGGCCAAGUCUUAGUACAUGACAUGGUAAUCCUGUUCAGGAGCAGGAGUUUGUGAAGCAUCCAAAAGUUGGAAGGACUUUGCAUGGAGCUAAAAAUGAUCCUUUUUUUUGGGUACCUUUAGAUGUUUUUUUCUCCAUGUGUAUAUUAGAAGUCCAUCAUGAAGCAUGUCUAAUGGUCUGCACUCAAUGUUGGUUUAUGAUGGAUUUCCCUGGCUUUUACAUGCCAUGUUGUUACAUCUUUAAUUUCUUGUCCAUUAUCACCACUGUGAUUCUUAUGGCUAAUAAUUUCUGUGGCCUAAUUUUCGCCUCUUUAUCAUUUCAUGGUUGUCAUCCUUAAA